GGGGAUUUAAAGUGAUUUUAAAAAUAGAAUUCUGUAUAAUUGGGGAAGCAGAAAAUCCUGCAAUUUCCACUCUUAAUGAUUCUUGGCUCCUGGACAGGUUGAUUUCAUGCCAUUCUUUAAAUUGACUAUGUAAAACUAGAUGUUGAAAUCCGUAAAUGACAAGAUAGGAGAAAAAUGGAUACAAGCUCACAAGCCAUAUGAGAUGAUUUAAAGUAGCUUCAAUCGCGAGUGUUUGUAGAAAGGAUGUAGCAGACAACCAGCACUUUUGACUUCACACCUCAAUCCACAGCCAGCAGUAUCUGCUGUUGUCAUUUAGAUAUCAAUUACAUAGUGUUAUUUCCUUUUUCUAAAUUUCAAUUCCACUAAACCAGCAAGCAUUAGGAAAUCUCUUCGUUCACGGUCCAACUAAAACGCU
rnacentral:misc_RNA from 1 species